AUUGAACGCUGGCGGCAGGCUUAACACAUGCAAGUCGAGCGAGCGGCGGACGGGUGAGUAAUGUCUGGGAAACUGCCUGAUGGAGGGGGUUAACUACUGGAAACGUUAGCUAAAACCGCAUAGCAUCAGAUGUGCCCAGAUGGGAUUUGCUAGUGGGUGGGGUAAUGGCUCACCUAGGCGACGAGCCCUAGCUGGUCUGAGAGGAUGACCAGCCAACCUGGAACUGAGACACGGUCCAGAUUCCUACGGGAGGAAGCGGUGGGGAAUAUUGCACAAUGGGGGCAAGCCUGAUGCAGCCAUGCCGCGUGUGUGAAGAAGGCCUUCGGUUUGUAAAGCACUUUCAGCGAGGAGGCGUUACUCACAGAAGAAGCACCGGCUAACUCCGUGCCAGCAGCCGCGGUAAUUC
rnacentral:rRNA from 1 species